UACGGAGGGUGCAAGCGUUAUCCGGAUUCACUGGGUUUAAAGGGUUCGUAGGUGGCCAACUAAGUCAGACGUGAAAUCCCUCAGCUCAACUGGGGAACUGCGUCUGAUACUGGUCGGCUUGAGUGCAGGAGAGGAACGCGGAAUUCCAGGUGUAGCGGUGAAAUGCGUAGAUAUCUGGAGGAACACCGGUGGCGAAGGCGGCGUUCUGGACUGCAACUGACACUGAGGAACGAAAGCCAGGGGAGCAAACGGG
rnacentral:rRNA from 1 species